AUUGAACGCUGGCGGCAGGCUUAACACAUGCAAGUCGAACGAGUGGCGGACGGGUGAGUAAUGAUUGGGAAUCUAGCUGGUGGAGGGGGAUAACUAAGGGGAACUGUAGCUAAUACCGCGUACAAUAGGAUGGGCCCAAGUGGGAUUAGGGAGUUGGUGAGGUAAAGGCUCACCAAGCCGACGAUCUUUAGCGGGUCUGAGAGGAUGACCAGCCACACUGGAACUGAGACACGGCCCAGACUCCUACGGGAGGCAGCAGUGGGGAAUAUUGCGCAAUGGGGGCAACCUGACGCAGCCAUGCCGCGUGAAUGAAGAAGGCCUUCGGGUUGUAAAGUUCUUUCGGUAGCGAGGCGUUAACUACAGAAGAAGCACCGGCUAACUCCGUGCCAGCCGCCGCGGUAAUUC
rnacentral:rRNA from 1 species